rnacentral:misc_RNA from 1 species
GGUAUCUCUACAUGCUUAUCCAAAUUAUGAGUUUGAGAACAAGCUCUUUCUCUAGGAGGGGAGUAAUAUUAGGGAUACAUUCUUAGAAAAGAGUUAUAUAAGGAGUGGAUCACAAGAUAAGGAAGUCAAUGGCACUGUAAAUGGCAACAAAUAAAUUACAAUAUUAGCAAAUAAAUUACAUUAUCAAGGGGAAUCAACAAUAACUAAUUAUUAGCAAAAAUAUAAAUUUCAGUUGCGAUAUUAUUCUGAUUGUAAUAUUUUAAUUUAAGCCCG